rnacentral:rRNA from 1 species
GGCGGCACGCCUAACACAUGCAAGUCGAACGAAGUAGCAAUACUUAGUGGCAGACGGGUGAGUAACAUGUAGGUAUCUGCCCUUUGGCCUGGAAUAACACGAGGAAACUUGUGCUAAUACCGGAUAAGUCUUUACGGAGAAAGCUUUAUGCACCAUUGGAUGAGCCUGCACUUGAUUAGUUUGUUGGUGGGGUAAUGGCCUACCAAGACUGUGAUCAAUAGCUGAUUUGAGAGGAUGAUCAGCCACAUUGGGACUGAGACACGGCCCAAACUCCUACGGGAGGCAGCAGUGGGGAAUCUUGCACAAUGGAGGAAACUCUGAUGCAGCGAUGCCGCGUGAGUGAAGAAGGCCCUUGGGUUGUAAAGCUCUUUCGUCGGGGAAGAAAAUGACUGUACCCGAAUAAGAAGGUCCGGCUAACUUCGUGCCAGCAGCCGCGGUAAUACGAAGGGACCUAGCGUAGUUCGGAAUUACUGGGCUUAAAGAGUUCGUAGGUGGUUGAAAAAGUUGGUGGUGAAAUCCCAGAGCUUAACUCUGGAACUGCCAUCAAAACUUUUCAGCUAGAGUAUGAUAGAGGAAAGCAGAAUUUCUAGUGUAGAGGUGAAAUUCGUAGAUAUUAGAAAGAAUACCAAUUGCGAAGGCAGCUUUCUGGAUCAUUACUGACACUGAGGAACGAAAGCAUGGGUAGCGAAGAGGAUUAGAUACCCUCGUAGUCCAUGCCGUAAACGAUGUGUGUUAGACGUUGGAAAUUUAUUUUCAGUGUCGCAGCGAAAGCGAUAAACACACCGCCUGGGGAGUACGACCG